UUUAGCAACAGAUUUGUUGUUGCUAUCGUCAAAGUGAUUUAUUUUGUUUUGAAUUCAAAACUAUAUAAAUUAAUUAAAAACAUUAGAUUUAUCUCAUAAAGAAAUCUUACAUUCUCAUAACAUUAUAGAAAUGCUAGAAAGUCAUUUCUUAGCAAACAAAAAAAAUUAAACCUGAUAAAUGAAAGCUAAUGACAUAAAAUUUCAAACUAACACAGACAAAAGAUCGUGAAAAUCAUCUAGUUUAUCUCCUCGUUGCUGCUAGGAGCCUAGGAGAUGCAGAUGGAGAAGUAUCUCUGUGGGGUUGGGGUGAUAGAUUAGGUGGUUACCAAGCUCCUUCUCAACGCGAAGUCGCUCGGGUUCUUCGUUAAACUGGAUCUAGAGACGAUGGCAAGGAGAUGCACAGCUGGAUUCAAAAGGUGGAAGAUUAGGAAGGUUGAUGAGAGAGAGAUCCGUUUUUUUACAAAGAAGACAAACUUUAAAGAAACAAAAGAACUGCUUUGGAACAACGAAGUCCCAAAGAUUUAUGUUUUAGACUGUAGGAAAUAGGAAUGGUGUAGAGAGAAAGAAGAUUCGCAUGGAAGAAGGUGAAGAGAGCAGAGAAGAAACGUGCUGGGACAGAGAAGAGAGAAAAGUGGAAUUGGACAGAGGAAGAAACACAUAUGUGGACUAAAUGUGACCAUUAGAUUAAAAGUUAUCAAUGGCUCACAUUCACAAUCCGCACACUUGUCUCUUAUUGGAUUGAAAAUUAAAAUUGAUUAUAAAUUAUGUUUAGUUUUACUCUAGUGUUAGUGUAUAUGGAAUUAGAUUAUAGGAAUGAACUAUAAAGUUUAACUUUAUGGUAUAUUAUGGGAAUUAAAUUAUAGGAAUAAACUAUGAAGUUUAAUUUUUGAUGUUUUAGGAUAUAAAAUAUUAUAGGAAUUAAAAAAAAAAUAUUAUAGGAAUUGAAUUUUAUUUAGAAUUAAAAGUUUACAUGUUUAUGAUAUAGGGUUUCAGUUAUAUGGUUUAGGGUUUAGGUUUAUGAUUUGGAAUUAAGAGUGGGUUGAGACUAAGUUUUUAAGAAGAUUAAGUUAAAAGUUUUUUGUUUAAGACGUGGAAGUUAAAUUUGAAAAUAUUAAAGUUGGAGUUUAUAUUUAGGAUAUAGAUUGAGAUAUUCAUAGUUUAGGGUUUAAAUUUAAGAUUUAGAAUGAAGUUUAAAGAAAAUUAGAUUUUGAGUUUAAGCUUAAUAUUUGAGUUUAAAGCUUAUGCUUAGUGUAAAUAUUUACUACAUAAGGUUUGAAGUAUGGUUCAAGAUUAAGAUUUUGGCUUAAUGUCUAUAAUGUGGGGUUGAAAUAUAGUGUUGAGGUUUAAAUUGUAAAUUUGAUAUUAAAUUUUGAAAAGAAUAAUUUUCUUGUGUUAUUUUAAUAAUUUAAAGUAAAAGUAAGAAAAAAUUUAGUUUUAAAAUUUUGUAUUUAGAGUUUAGGGUUUAAAUUUAUGGUUAGGGUAUAGAGUUUGAUAGAAGAUUUAAAAUUUGUAUUUGGAAGUUAUAGAUUAGGAUUAAAAAUAUUAAACUUUAAGUUUAAGAUUUGAGAUUGUAGUAUGAAAAUAUUAGAGUUUUAUGAUUUAUGUUUAGGAUUUAUGGUUUUGAGAUUGUGUAUACCCAUUAUUUUUACUAUACUAUUAGUGCUUUUAAUAUAUGUGGAUUAAAUUUUUUUAUCUUAAAACAUUAAAUUGUAUCUACGUUAAAAAUUAAUCGUUAAUCUAACAUUAUUUUAUAUAUAUAUAUACGAAAUAUUAUAAUUUUUACUAUUUUGAUGAUUAUAGUACUGUGUCGAAAUGACAAAGAUAUAGAUAUUGGUGCUAUUUAACAAUAGAAAUGAUUGUAGUUAGUUGUUGCUAAAUAGAAUAAUUGUAGCAACCACUUAUCUCUAGCCAAAGUGUAGCUAUUUAGCUACGGACCGCCAACGGAAUCCUUC
rnacentral:lncRNA from 1 species